AGAGCGAACGCUGGCGGCAGGCCUAACACAUGCAAGUCGAGCGCCCGUAGCAAUACGGGAGCGGCAGACGGGAUAGUAACACGUGGGAACGCGCCCUUCGGUUCGGAAUAACUCAGGGAAACUUGAGCUAAUACCUGAUACGCCCUUACGGGGAAAGAUUUAUUGCCGAAGGAACGGCCCGCGUCCGAUUAGCUAGUUGGUGAGGUAAUGGCUCACCAAGGCGACGAUCGGUAGCUGGUCUGAGAGGAUGACCAGCAUCACUGGGACUGAGACACGGCCCAGACUCCUACGGGAGGCAGCAGUGGGGAAUAUUGGACAAUGGGCGCAAGCCUGAUCCAGCCAUGCCGCGUGGAUGAUGAAGGCCUUAGGGUUGUAAAGUCCGUUUUAACGGGGAAGAUAAGUGACGGUACCCGUAGAAUAAGCCCCGGCUAACUUCGUGCCAGCAGCCGC
rnacentral:rRNA from 1 species